rnacentral:lncRNA from 1 species
ACGCUAACCAUGCCUAGGAAGGAAAGGAGUUGUUGUUUUGUAGAAGGUGCUGGGGUUUGAGAGAUCAGUCAGACACGAUUGGCAGGGAGAGCACGUGUGUUUUUAUGAGAAUUAUGCCGAGAUAGGUAACAGAUGAGGAUGAAAUUUGGGCUUGAUUGAAGUAAUGGAGGCUGUCUGUGAAGCUUUGCAGCAGUACAGCCUUGGUAAUUUGCUGAGCCUAAUGGGUGUCAGGGUCAGUCCAAGUGAAAGCAAAGAGAGGCUGGAACGAGGGGUGCAGGGGAAUAGUGAAAAAAGCAUCUUUAAGAUCAGGCACGGAAUAGUGAGUUGUGGAGGAAGGUAUUGAGGACAAAAGAGUGUAUGGGGUUGGGCACCACAGGGGGGAUAGGCAAAACAAUUUGGUUGAUAAGGUGCAGAUCCUGAACUAACUUGUAAGGCUUGUCUGGUUUUAGGACAGGUAAAAUGGGGGAAUUGUAAGGAGAGUUUAUAGGGUUUAAAAGGCCAUGCUGUAGCAGGCGAGUGAUAACAGGCUUUAAUCUUUUUAAAGCGUGCUGCGGGAUGGGAUAUUGGCGUUGAGUGGGGUAAGGGUGAUUAGGUUUUAAUGAGAUGGUAAGGGGUGCAUGAUCCGUCGCCAAGGAGGGAGUAGAGGUAUCUUAUACUUGUGGGUUAAGGUGGGGGGAUACAAGAGGAGGACGCAAAGGAGGCUUUGGAUUGGGAAGAAGGGCGGCAAUGAGAUAUAGCUGUAGUCCAGGAAUAGUCAGGGAAGCAGAUAAUUUAAAGUGUCUCAGCCUAAUAAGGGAACUGGGCAGGUGGGGAUAACUAAAAAGGAGUGCUUAAAAGAGUAUUGUCUAAGUUGGCACCAGAGUUGGGGAGUUUUAAGAGGUUUAGAAGCCUGGCCGUCAAUACCCACAACAGUUAUGGAGGCAAGGGAAACAGGCCCUUGAAAAGAAGGUGAUGUGGAGUGGGUAGCCUCCGUAUUGAUUAAGAAGGAGACGGGCUUACCUUCCACUGUGAGAGUUACCUGAAGCUCGGCGUCUGUGAUGGUCUAGGGGGCUUCCGAGGCGAUCGGGCAGUGUCAGUCUUCAGCUGCUAAGCCGAGAAGAUCUGGGAAGGAGUCAGUCAGAGAGCCUUGGGCCAGAGUUCCAGGGACUCUGGGAGUGGCUGCCAGGCCCUCAGCCUAGCGGUGCAGAGAGGACAUGGAUCUUCCCGAGAUGCCCACAGUCUAUGAGAGAGAAAGACCAAGAAACCGCUGGAGGACUGGACUAAAUGAAGAUCAAGUCUGAAAGUCAUUCACUUUGUCAUCUGUUGGCUCUACCUUUGACUCAAGUGCCAGCCUCUUCAUCUCUCUCCUGGAUUCCUAUAAUACCUUCUCAGCUUCGGCUGUCAUUUCCCCUCCACACACAGCCAGCAUGAGUGACUGCAAAAUCAAAGUCCUGAGCUGGUCUCCCCACUCACUCAAAGGCCCUGUAGGACAGUGUCCCUCUGUGAUGGCAUAGCCACGCUGGCCUCUUGGCUGUUCCUCAGAUAUCCCAUGCUGCUGCCACCUUGAGCACUUGCUGGUUUAUCUGCCUGAUUCAAUGCUCUUCUCCCGACAUUUAUCCACAUGGACCCAUCUGCAAAGUUCUCAAGUUUCUGCUCAGAGUCACCUCAUCAGGUUGGUGACAACCUUAUUUAAAAUAGCUCUUCUUCUCCAUAUCUCCUUGCCUGACUUCAUUUUUAUCAUAGCAAUUGUAUUGAUUUGUUUUGUUGUUUAUUGUGUGUCUCCCUAUUCUAGAAUGUAAGCUCCUUGAGGACAGGGACUUGUCUGCUUGACUUGUUUCUAUCAGGGUGUCAGGACAGGGCAUAUGGUAGGUGCUUAAUAAAUAUGUGUGGGUGAAUGGACAAUGAUUCAUGGAUGAUAUCCAGAGGGUAAUGGUGAUUGCCAGUCAUGGGCAUAUGGCAUUUUGUUUUACAAUAUUUUUAUACAUAUGGGAUAUUAUUAUUAUUAUUUUUGAGACAGAGUUUCGCUCUGUCACCCAGGCCAGAGUGCAGUGGCAUGAUCUUGGCUGACUGCAGCUUUGACUUUCCAGUCUCACACAAUCCUCCCACCUCAGCCUCCCAAGUAGCUGGGACUACAUGCAUGCACCACCAUGCCUGGCUAAUUUUUUAAAUUUUUGGUAGGGCUAGGGCUUCACUAGGUUUCUCAGGCAGGUCUCAAACUCCUAGGCUCAAGUGACCUUCCUACCUAAGCCUCCCAAAGUGCUGGGAUUACAGGGAUGAGCCACCAGGCCCUGCCAAUACUAUUAUUUUUGUUGCUUCAUGAUACGUUUUAGAAAUCUUUUAUGUUAGUUAAAUGGAAAACUGUCUUGUUCUUUUUGACUGCUACAUACCAUUCCUCAGUGUGGGUGUACCGUGAUGUAACCAUUCCCUCCUUAGUAGUCCUUGUUUGCAAUUUUUCUAUUUUAUUUCAUUGCAAAUAGAGCUUUGAGAAACACCUUUGCACAUGUGGUUUUGGGGACAUGCAUUAUCAUUUCUUUCAUGUUGAACUCCUUCAAGUGAAAUUUCCAGGUGUAAGUCACAGCUGCCCAAUAGCUUUCUGCAAU